rnacentral:lncRNA from 10 species
UUUAACUGAAGGUCAGAUUUAGGUCAGAUUUCACAUAUAUGUGUUUCCAGAAAUCUCUGCUUAAGCAUCUAAAAGUCAUCUCAAAUUUAACAUCUAAACAAAAUCUGGUUAUUCCACCUCAACUUUCUCAUUCCCCCUCAUUCCCCUAUUCCUUAAUUAUUGGCAGUGCUAUUUUUCCAAUUGCUCAGAUUGAGCUUGGGGUCCCUCUUGCAUCAUGUUUUACUCUCACACCUCAAUACACAAUCUGACAGAAAAUUAUUUCUGCUGUUUCAUUUUAGUAAAUUUGGAAGCUGACCACAUUUGCUACCUUUACUGCUAUCCAGACUAUACACUGUCAUCUCUCCCUUGUACUACUGCAUCAACUUCCUUAAGGGUAUCAUUGCUUCUACUCUAUCCUGUCCAUGGUCUCUAUACACAACACAAUAGUGAGAAUUAUCUUAAUAAAAUGAAAUUCAGAUUGUGUCAUUUCUCUUCUUAGAACCUUCUAGGAUAACUUAAAAGAGCCAAUCAAACUAAUGGUUGCUUCUGCUAGGGGCAAACCAUUUUUAAAAAUAUUCUUUUAAUGUUAACAUAUCAUUGUAUAAAUAUCAUUGUAUUAUUUGUACACUGUAUUCUCAGCCAUAAUGCAUAUAACUAUACAAAAUGGAAGUGAGAAAUAGGUAAAAUUCCCUUGUCUAGUUUACAAGAAAACUUAGAGGCAAAGGAAAGUGCUACUUAAUCAAUGCUUUUACACUUUUUGUUGCCACAAUUUACUGGAUACUCUAUUUCUUCAAAAGCAGAAGAAGCAUUAUUUUCAGAUCAUGUCUCGAUAUGGAGCUUAGUGGUCUUUAUCAGUAUAUACUUAAAGAAUGUUUAUUUCUUAAUGAUACUGAAUUUUGUAAUGAAAACCCAAAUGUGCAAAUAGUUAUAAACAAGAGGGGUCACAAUUGUUUUAGAUUGACUUCAGAAACCAUUUGUUUUGUAUUUUGUUUUAAGAAUUACAGGAACAUAGCUACAAAUGAUGAGUUUGAUUUGGAAAUGUAUUCUUUGGUCAUAUAAAGAUGGGAUACAAAUACCUUGGGAACUUUCCUUUCCUGUAUUAUGCGCUUCAGUGCUCAACAUGCCAACAUGCUUGGAAAUUCUUCAAUACCAUGACCUCUAAAAGCCCAGCUAAUUUAGUGAAAAGAGAAACAAGGGUCCUGCAUACCAAUGAAACUGCUGACAUCAGCUGAUCUGAAUGACCCAACAAAAAGCUUACAUACACAAAGAAUGCAGUUUUCACAUCCUAAUCAUUUCAUUCUCCUUACCCUGACCAAUCAAUGAUCCCAAUUUGCCAGUCCCAUACCCUCCACAAUUUUCUUAAAAACCCCAGAUCAGUAUAUUCCUUGGGGAGAUGGAUUUUGGUGUUUUCUGCCAUCUCCUUGCUUGGCUGUCCUGUGAUCUUUAAACACUUUUUCUGCUGCAACCCUGCUGUCUCAGUGUACGGAUAUGUUACUGUGCAGAGGGCAUAUGAAGCUGUUGGUCCUAUAAUAUUAUGAUGGCAUUAGUGGCCUUAUAAGAAUUAGAAGAGAAGCCAGGCACAUUCGCACGCACCUGUAGUCCCAGCUACUCAGGAGGCUGAGGCAGGAGGAUUGCUUGAGCCCAGGAGUUUAAGGCUGCAGUGUGCUUUGAUCAUUUCUUUGAGUAGCCACUGUACUCUAGCCUGAGCAACAUAGCAAGAUCCCAUCUCUAUCAAAGCAGGAAUUGGAAGAGAGAGAGAGAUAUAAAUUUUUUCUCUGCCUAUGCACACUCAUAGGAAAAGUCAUGUGAGGACAUAGCAAGAAGGCAGCUACCUGAAAUCAAGGAAGAGAGUGCUCACAAGAAUCCAAUCAUGCUGGCAGCCUGAUCUUGACACUGUAGACUCAAGAACAGUAAAGAAAAUAAAUAUUUCUGUUAUUGAAGCCACUUGGUUUAUGGUGUUUUAUUA